GAGUCGAGCGACUUCUUUACNAGCUUGCUUUAGAGAAGUUAGCGGCGGACGGGUGAGUAACACGUGGGCAACCUGCCUGUAAGACUGGGAUAACUUCGGGAAACCGGAGCUAAUACCGGAUAAUAUAUAGUACCUCCUGGUACUAUAUUGAAAGUUGGUUUCGGCUAACACUUACAGAUGGGCCCGCGGCGCAUUAGCUAGUUGGUGAGGUAACGGCUCACCAAGGCAACGAUGCGUAGCCGACCUGAGAGGGUGAUCGGCCACACUGGGACUGAAACACGGCCCAGACUCCUACGGGAGGCAGCAGUAGGGAAUCUUCCACAAUGGACGAAAGUCUGAUGGAGCAACGCCGCGUGAGCGAUGAAGGCCUUCGGGUCGUAAAGCUCUGUUGUUAGGGAAAAACAAGUGCGAGAGUAACUGCUCGCACCUUGACGGUACCUAACCAGAAAGCCACGGCUAACUACGUGCCAGCAGCCG
rnacentral:rRNA from 1 species